GACGCCUGCCCAGUGCCGGAAGGUUAAGUAAAUUAGUUAUUCUUAUGAAAAAGCUAAUGAAUCAAGCCCCGGUGAACGGCGGCCGUAACUCUGACGGUCCUAAGGUAGCGAAAUUCCUUGUCGCGUAAGUUGUGACCCGCACGAAAGGCGUAACGAUCUGGGUACUGUCUCAGAGAGAGACUCGGUGAAAUAGACAUGUCUGUGAAGAUGCAGACUUCUUACACCUGGACAGAAAGACCCUAUGAAGCUUGACUGUAUCUUGAAAUUGAAUUUGAGUUUUUUUUGCGCAGCCUAGGUGGGAGGCUAUGAAAAAGUUUUUUCGGAAACUUUGGAGCCACAGUGAGAGACCACUCUUUAAAAACUAAAAUUCUAAUAGUGUUUUCUUGAAGCAGAACACUUGACAGUUUUAGGUGGACAGUUUUUUUGGGGCGAAAACCUCCUAAAAAGUAACGGAGGUGUACAAAGGUUCCCUCAAACUGGACGGAAAUCAGUUGAAGAGUACAAAGGCAAAAGGAGCUUAACUGCAAGACUGACACGUCGAGCAGAGGCGAAAGCCGGUCUUAGUGAUCCGACGGUUCCGUGUGGAAGGGCCGUCGCUCAACGGAUAAAAGUUACUCUAGGGAUAACAGGCUGAUCUUCCCCAAGAGUUCACAUCGACGGGAAGGUUUGGCACCUCGAUGUCGGCUCAUCGCAACCUGGGGCGGUAGUAUGUCCC
rnacentral:rRNA from 1 species